rnacentral:tRNA from 1 species
UUAUAAAUUAUUAUAUUAAAUUAGCUAAUUAGUGUUUGACUUUAAUCAAAAUAAAUUUUUUUAUUUAAUA